UGUGGACUUUCUUGGUGUCACGGUUGCGGAGGGGAUAGGAAGAGCGCUGUGAUGAACUGUCACCAGAUCUCAGUCCAGUAGACCUUUGGGAUGUGAUGGAACGGGAGAUUGACAGCUGACAAAUCUGCAGCAGCUGCAUGAUGCUAUCAUCAAUAUGGACCAAAAUCUCUGAGGAAUGUUUCCAGCACCUUAGUUGAAUCUCUGCCACCUCAUAUCUGAAGGCAUAUCAAAAGGGUGUCCGACCUGGUUCUAGCGAGGUGUACCUAAUGUAAUGUAUAUUG